ACAUUCUUCUCAUCUUCUUUUCCAUGUAGGUCUCGCCUAUUCUACUCUAAUAAGUCCUCUAUUAUGUUCUUUCUUUUUUUAUCUUUUAUGUUACUAUUUUCUCUUCCAAUUACGUUUUUAUUGCACUUUUCUUCUCAAUCUCGCAUUUCUUAUGUUCUUUUUUCCAUCUUCUCUAAUCUCUCAUCUCAUAUGUUUUUUUUUAUAUUUUAUUAUAAUGUCU
rnacentral:lncRNA from 1 species